rnacentral:rRNA from 1 species
UGAGCAAUCUGCCCUUCUCAUCGGAAUAAGCGUUGGAAACGACGUCUAAUGCCGAAUACGACCUCCUUUCGCAUGAUCGGAGGUGGAAAGCUCCGGCGGAGAAGGAUGAGCUCGCGGCCUAUCAGCUAGUUGGUGUGGGUAAUGGCCCACCAAGGCGACGACGGGUAGCCGGCCUGAGGAGGGUGACCGGCCACACUGGGACUGAGACCACGGCCCAGACCUCCGUACGGGAGCAG